ACCAGACUCCUACGGGAGGCAGCAGUGAGGAAUAUUGGUCAAUGGACGAGAGUCUGAACCAGCCAAGUAGCGUGAAGGAUGACUGCCCUAUGGGUUGUAAACUUCUUUUAUAAAGGAAUAAAACGAGGCACGUGUGCCUUUUUGCAUGUACUUUAUGAAUAAGGAUCGGCUAACUCCGUGCCAGCAGCCGCGGUAAUACGUAGGGGGCAAGCGUUAUCCGGAUUUACUGGGUGUAAAGGGAGCGUAGACGGUUAUGUAAGUCUGGAGUGAAAGCCCGGGGCCCAACCCCGGGACUGCUUUGGAAACUGUGUAACUGGAGUACAGGAGGGGCAGGCGGAAUUCCUGGUGUAGCGGUGAAAUGCGUAGAUAUCAGGAGGAACACCGGCGGCGAAGGCGGCCUGCUGGACUGAAACUGACGUUGAGGCUCGAAAGCGUGGGGAGCAAACAGGAUUAGAUACCCUUGUA
rnacentral:rRNA from 1 species